GGGAGCUUACGUGGUUGUACUCUUUUUACCUUACUAUGGUUUUUCCCAUUGGGUUUUCCUGGAAAGGUUUUUAACGAGGCAACAAAGACGUUAAGCGGGGGCGGAUAGUGUCACCGGCCCCCAAGGGGGAGUGUUAUGAAAGUCAGAGAACACAGCGCCGCAUAAGUUGAAAUUAUAAAUGAUGUGGGGCCCGCUGCACUAUUUGCACAGUAGAUUUUUUUCUUUAUAUAUACGAUCAAGUUCGAUCGUUUCAAAUACACACUUCAAUCUUCCCUUCUCUCUCAGAUAAACACUUUCUUUCAGUGUUAUAAUUUCUACGGAUAUAAAAUUUUGCCCUUAUAUAAAUUCCUGCGAUACAAAUAAAUUCCAGUUCUUUUUAUAACAUUCAGCAUUUUAUUCCUUUUUUUCCCGGCGGCUGGAGCUGUUGUUCUUUUUCCACAAAUAACUUUUUUCUUUAGUUGUUAUUAUUAUUAAUAUUAUUUCUUUUCUAUUUUUCUUUAAAAUAUUUGUACGGGUCCUACCAUCCUUUUUUUUUUAAUUUUGUCAGCGAUCAGAAAAAAAGUUAAGCAUUUUUCUUUUCUUCUCUU
rnacentral:lncRNA from 1 species